GAUGAACGCUGGCGGCGUGCCUAAUACAUGCAAGUUGAGCGAAUGGAUUAAGAGCUUGCUCUUAUGAAGUUAGCGGCGGACGGGUGAGUAACACGUGGGUAACCUGCCCAUAAGACUGGGAUAACUCCGGGAAACCGGGGCUAAUACCGGAUAACAUUUUGAACCGCAUGGUUCGAAAUUGAAAGGCGGCUUCGGCUGUCACUUAUGGAUGGACCCGCGUCGCAUUAGCUAGUUGGUGAGGUAACGGCUCACCAAGGCAACGAUGCGUAGCCGACCUGGGAGGGUGAUCGGCCACACUGGGACUGAGACACGGCCCAGACUCCUACGGGAGGCAGCAGUAGGGAAUCUCCCGCAAUGGACGAAAGUCUGACGGAGCAACGCCGCGUGAGUGAUGAAGGCUUUCGGGUCGUAAAACUCUGUUGUUAGGGAAGAACAAGUGCUAGUUGAAUAAGCUGGCACCUUGACGGUACCUAACCAGAAAGCCACGGCUAACUACGUGCCAGCCGCCGCGGUAA
rnacentral:rRNA from 1 species